rnacentral:rRNA from 1 species
UACGUAGGGGGCUAGCGUUGUCCGGAUUUAUUGGGCGUAAAGAGCGUGUAGGCGGCCAGGUAGGUCUGCUGUGAAAACUCGAGGCUCAACCUCGAGCUGUCGGCGGAAACCAUCUGGCUAGAGUCCGGAAGAGGAGAGUGGAAUUCCUGGUGUAGCGGUGAAAUGCGUAGAUAUCAGGAGGAACACCGGUGGUGUAGACGGCUCACUGGACCAUAACUGACGCUGGGACACGAAAGCGUGGGUAGCAAACAGG